rnacentral:rRNA from 1 species
UACAGAGGUGGCUAGCGUUGUUCGGAUUUAUUGGGCGUAAAGGGUCCGUAGGCGGUUCGGAAAGUCGGAUGUGAAAUCCUACAGCUUAACUGUAGAACUGCAUUCGAAACUUCUGGACUAGAGUGUGAGAGGGGCAAAGGGAAUUCCCGGUGUAAGGGUGAAAUCUGCAGAGAUCGGGAGGAACACCAGUCGCGAAGGCGCUUUGCUGGCUCACUACUGACGCUCAGGGACGAAAGCUAGGGGAGCAAACGGG